rnacentral:rRNA from 1 species
GAUGAACGCUGGCGGCGUGCCUAAUACAUGCAAGUCGAGCGAACAGACGAGGAGCUUGCUCCUCUGACGUCAGCGGCGGACGGGUGAGUAACACGUGGAUAACCUACCUAUAAGAAUGGGAUAACAUCGGGAAACCGUAGCUAAUACCGGAUAACAUGUUGAACCGCAAGGUUCACCAGUGAGAUUCGCUCUUGCUGUCAGUAAUAGCUGGAUACGCGCAGCAUUAGUUAGUUGGUAAGGUAACGGCUUACCAAGGCAACGAUGCGUAGCCGACCUGAGAGGGAGAACGGCCACACUGGCACUGAGACACGGCCCAGACUCCUACGGGAGGCAGCAGUAGGGACUCUUCCGCAAUGGGCGAAAGCCUGACGGAGCAAAGCCGCGGGAGUGAAGAAGGUCUUCGGAUCGUAAAACUCUGUUGUUAGGAAAGAACAAAUGUGUAAGUAACUAUGCUCGUAUUGACGGUACCUGAAGAAUAAGCCCCGGCUAACUACGUG